rnacentral:tmRNA from 1 species
GGGGACGCGUGGUUUCGACAGAGGAUGGUUCGGCGGAAUUGCAGGCCGAGGUGCCGUCACACCUCGUAAAACAGGCGGCAAAAAAGUAACUCGCGAGCCACAACUCGCCCUAGCCGCCUAAAGCGGCUACGUUUGCCCUCGUCUCGCCCCGAGGACGUGGAGCAGGCGCAAUGAAUUCGGGGUGCGGUCUGCCCUAACGCCGAUGCGGGCAGGCCUAAGUGGUCCAUCGGCUGGCUGACAAGCCUCUUGGCCGGCGGUGAGGCGGGCCAGCGAGAAAAUAAGCGCCGGACAAGCCUGUAGCACAUUCCAGUCGAGCGUCUUUUGGACGGGGAGUUCAACUCUCCCCCGUCUCCACCA